rnacentral:rRNA from 1 species
UACAGAGGUCUCGAGCGUUAGUCGGAAUCACUGGGCUUAAAGCGUGUGUAGGUGGAUGCCUAAGUACCUUGUGAAAUCCCACAGCUUAACUGUGGAACUGCUUGGUAUACUGGGUGUCUUGAGUCACUCAGGGGCGAGCGGAACAAAUGGUGGAGCGGUGAAAUGCGUAGAUAUCAUGUGGAACGCCAAUGGUGAAAACAGCUCGCUGGGGGUGCACUGACACUGAGACACGAAAGCCAAGGGAGCGAACGGG